AGGACGAACGCUGGCGGCGCGCUUAACACAUGCAAGUCGAGCGAGAACCAGACCUUCGGGUCUGGGACAGCGGCGAACGGGUGAGUAACACGUGGGUAAUCAACCCUUGACACUGGGAUAGCCCGGGGAAACCCGGAUUAAUACCGGAUGGCCCUUUGGAUCCUCGGAUCUGAAGGAAAAGGUAGCUUCGGCCUCCGGUCAAGGACGAGCCCGCGGCGGAUUAGCUUGUUGGUGAGGUAACGGCCCACCAAGGCGACGAUCCGUAGCUGGUCUGAGAGGAUGAUCAGCCACACUGGGACUGAGACACGGCCCAGACUCCUACGGGAGGCAGCAGUGGGGAAUAUUGGACAAUGGGCGCAAGCCUGAUCCAGCCAUGCCGCGUGAGUGAAGAAGGCCUUAGGGUUGUAAAGCUCUUUCAGCGGGGAAGAUAAUGACGGUACCCGCAGAAGAAGCCCCGGCUAACUUCGUGCCAGCAGCCGC
rnacentral:rRNA from 1 species